UAGGGAAUCUUCCGCAAUGGACGAAAGUCUGACGGAGCAACGCCGCGUGAGUGAAGAAGGUCUUCGGAUCGUAAAGCUCUGUUGUUAGCGAAGAACAAGUAUCGGAGGAAAUGCCGGUACCUUGACGGUACCUGACGAGAAAGCCACGGCUAACUACGUGCCAGCAGCCGCGGUAAUACGUAGGUGGCAAGCGUUGUCCGGAAUUAUUGGGCGUAAAGCGCGCGCAGGCGGUCCUUUAAGUCUGAUGUGAAAUCUUGCGGCUCAACCGCAAGCGGUCAUUGGAAACUGGGGGACUUGAGUGCAGAAGAGGAAAGCGGAAUUCCACGUGUAGCGGUGAAAUGCGUAGAGAUGUGGAGGAACACCAGUGGCGAAGGCGGCUUUCUGGUCUGUAACUGACGCUGAGGCGCGAAAGCGUGGGGAGCAAA
rnacentral:rRNA from 1 species